GGACAGGUGGCCGAGUGGCUGAAGGCGCUCCCCUGCUAAGGGAGUAUGUGGUGAUGAGCUGCAUCGAGGGUUCGAAUCCCUCCCUGUCCGCCA
rnacentral:tRNA from 1 species